GGCUUUGGAUUGAGUGACCCAGAACGGGAGCCGCCGGAGGGUGGGGUGGGGGUGGAAGGUUCGGGACAGGAUACUGUUUGACUCCUGUGCACUGGCGCGCUGACGUGCGGCGUAAUACAUCCGCUAGCCGCAUCUUUUCCGCGCGCUGUUGGGCUGUGGCGCGUAAGGGUCUCAAACCCACUUGGCGCGCAGCGUGGAGAGCGGCGGCUGCGGCCCGACAGCUCUUGGCCCAGCAAAAAGAUGAUCACGUGAAGGGAGACGCUUGUGCUCCUGUUGCUCACAAAAUAAUAGCCUAGUCUCGAAGGCUAGCGGAGUAGCUCGGUCUGAGUCAUACGCAACUGCUGAGUGUCUGGUCGCGAGCGCGAGAUGAGUACACAGGACGACUCAUGCUGCCGAACAGGCUCCAAAAGCAUCUCAUUUUCCUUGCCACAUCCGGGCUAAGGAGUGCAGAGGCUGGAGUUACGCCAUGGCAGGAAGCGGCCUAGAGACUUGGGAAAUCCAGAGAGGCCGCGCAGGUCUGCUUUUCUCAUCACCAGGCAGUCGCCCAAUGCUCCCAACACUCCUGGAGGAAGUGGCCGUGGAGACAGUGCUGUCAUUUCGGGCAAAGGUGGGGGGCGGGGGGCGGAGCAGGACCUGGGAAACCUUGGUAGUUGUAAGCGCAAGCUGCACCGAAGACUUCUCCGGAGGCGAGAGCGUGCACAGUCCGGAGAGCAUCAGUCUAAACUGCAUGUGCAGCUGUGGAGUAAAGGGGCAGGAUUUAGAAGCAGUAAGUUUGGAGACAUAUGUUCCUUCCUCCUGAGUGUGAGCCUCAGGGCCAGGUCCUUUCUGGAGGCUUAGGUGUAGCCAUAUUGUAAAACCACCCCUGCAAAGUCGGCCUUUGAGAGGACCCAGCAUUGGAACCCCUCAGGAAUUCUUGGUUUGGCCCAGUGACAAGGCAAAGCCAGCUAACGCCUGGUCACAGCUGAUUAGUAAGUGACCCGUGGCUGAGCUGAUUGCAUGUUCUAGGAUCGACCAGAGAAUGCUCUGGAGAAGGAACUACCGCCCUGCUUGCUAGUGGUCCCCCUUAAUGUAGGACAGCGGCAAACAAGGGCAGUUCCAGAGGCAGCGAGCCAGACACAACAACUUGGGAGUUUGGGAAUAGAGUCCUUUCUUUGAUAUUUGCAGCGAUGAGGAAUGGAGGCCAUGCCUCUGGGCAUGUCCAGGAAGGAUUUUCUAGUUUGGGCUAGGGUGGAAGGCCCACCCUAAUUUGGAUGUGACCAUUCCAUGGGCUGGGAUCCCUGACUGAAAUUAACUUAAAAGGAGAAAGGGCAUAGGUGUGGAAACCUGGCAGCACUUCAGAGGCUGAGGGAGGAGACUCUAGUUCAACCCCGGUCUGCGGAUACAUGAAACCCUGUCAAAUAACUUUUUAAAAAUUAAACUAGGCCAGGUGGUGGUGGCAAACCUUUAAUCUUGGUUCUUGGGAGGCAGAGGCAGGUGGAUCUCUGAGUUCAAAGCCAGCCUGGUCAACAAAGUAAGUUCCAGGACAGUCAAGGCUACAUAGAAAAACCCUGUCUCAGAAAAUAAAUAAAAAUCUUCCUGCUUCUUGACUUUAAUCCCAGCAGAUCUAAAUAUCAAUUUCCAUGUCAGCCAGAACUACAUUGAGAAACCCUGCGUUUUUUCUUUCUUUCUUUUUCUUUUUUCUUUUUUUUCUUUUUCUUGAGACUUUGUAACUAGGGCUGUCCAAGAAACCCUGUUUCAAAAAAAAAAAAAAGAAAGAAAGAAAAAGAAAAAUCCACAUGGGAGGUGGUUAAAGCAACUUGAGGAAGAAAGGGUUCAUAUAUGUGUGUGUGUGUGUGUGUGUGUGUGUGUGUGUAUACACACACCAGAAGAGGACAUCAGAUCCCAUUACAGAUGGUUGUGAGCCACCAUGUGGUUGCUGGGAUUUGAACACAGGACCUCUGGAAGAGCAGCCAGUGCUCUUAACCACUGAGCCAUCUCUCUAGUUUUCAGCUUUUAACGCCUGAUUUGAUAGUACAGUUCAUCACGUUCAUCACAGCAGCAGGCACAGUGGGGCACAGUGAGCCACAGUCAGAAGAGAUGAGGGGCUGAUUCCCAGCUUUUCUUAUUUAGUUCAUUCAGCGGUGCCACCCACACACAGAAUGGGUCUUCCCUCCUCAGUUCAAGCUUUUUGGAAACAUCCUCAGAGACACACCCAAAGGUCUGUAUGAGUUCACAGCGAUUCUAAAUCCAGUUACGUUCGGUUGGGUUUGCAUUGUUCUGCCGCAACAAUGAAAAAAGUAACCCUCUCUCCAUCUUCACCCUCACCCCCACCUUCACCAUCCUCCUCACCACGUGAGGAUGGAUAAAGUCGCCACAGAUCCUCAGUAUUGAUGACAGCCAUGUUCCGGCCUUGCCUGACUUGCUUGACCCACCCUGGUCGCACCAGACCUGCUCUCUGCCGAGCUACAAUGUCGAUACAGUUACAGAAUGAAUUGCAGGCCCUGCUCUUCUGCUGCUACAUCCCGGUGUCAUCCAUAAGAAACAGUGACAAGAAGUGAGUCUCUGCAGCACUCCCGCUGCCUUCAGAUGCAUUGCAUGAGAGAGCACAGCUUCCAUCCAUGUUUGCUAAACACAGCUUCCAUCCAUGUUGGCUGAACAGCCGGCCCCUCACCCUGCGGUUGCCAUGGCUCCUGGGUUCAUUCAAAGGGCUUCUCUGGGUCAAACCAACAUGCGGGGAAGGCGGGGGGCAGAGACUCUAGCCAUACAGCAGGUUAGCCAGGGAGCUGGGCCUUCACUCCGACUUCCAGCUCUCUCCCUGCUGCUCACCGUCACUGUCCCAGACAGCAAAGAGUAACUGACUCAGGAAAACAGGCUCGUGGAUGCCCUCGGGGACCUGCCCGCUGAGGAUCUCUUAGUCACCGGCAGGCAGCCAAGGAGGAGCCCUUUGUGGUCUUGGCUUUUCACUCAAGGUUUGUGGCCAAGUCUAGAAAGGCAGCUUUCACCUUCAACGAAGGUAUCUGGGUCUCAGUCAAGACUGAUCUACACUUGACUCCCUGUCUGCCAGACAACUAUGGAAUGCAUCGUGGACGGGAUAAAGCAGGAUGGAGAGGAAGACGCUCAUGCUCACCGCAUGUCAGGACUGGAGAGAUGGCUCAGCGGUUAAGAGCACUGACUGCUCUUCCAGAGGUCUUGAGUUCAAUUCCCAGCAACCACGUGGUGGCUCACAACCAUCUGUAAUGGGAUCCAAUGUCCCCUUCUGGUGUGUCUGAAGACAGCUACAGUCUUAUCAUGUAUAUAAAAUAAAUAAAUCUUUUUAAAAAAGAUUAUUCUUUCUAGGCACGCCUAGUGGUUUCUCUCUUGGGGGAUUCUGCAUUCUGUCAAGCUGACAAGUAACCAUUGAUUUCCUUGUGUGGGCAUCUAACAUUGCUCUGUUCAAUGGAGACAUGGUGCAAGCUGGGUGGUUUCAAGUUUUCAAGACCUUACAAAAAGUAGUAAGAAUCAGUUGGCAAUAAUUUUUUCAAACUUUUAUUUUGUUUUCAGUUGUGUUCUGGUUUUAUUUUUAUACGUGCACUGGUGUUUUGCUUGCAUGUAUGUCUGUACGAGGGUGUCAGGUCCCCUGGAAGAGGAGUUACAGAUAAUUGUGAACUGCCCUGUGGGUGCUGGGAAUUGAACCUGGGUCCUCUGGAAGAACAGCCAGAGCUCUUAACCACUGAGACAUCUUUCCAGUUUGGGUCCUUUACCUGUGUGUAUGUCUAUCACAUGCACGCACUGCCAGUGGAGGCCAGAAGAUAUCAGAUCCCCUGGGACUGUAAUUACAAAUAGCUGUGAGCUGCCGUUUGGGUGCUGGGGAUCAAACCCAAGUCCCCUGAAAGAGCAGCCAGUGUUCAUAACCACCGAGCCAUCUCUCCAGCACCAGGGCGCAGUACUUGCAAUAAUUACGUUCUGUCAGUUACGCCCUCCAAAUGUCUCUCGAAAUAAAAUAAAACAUUUAUUUAUGUAUUUGGUUUGUUUGAGACACAGUCUCUUCAUAGCCCUGGCUGUCCUGGAGCUCACGCUGCAGACAGGGCUGGCCUCAAACUCACAAGAGGUCCACCUGGCCUCUGCCUUUUUUUUUUUUUAAAGAUUUUUUUUUCUUUUCUUUUUUUUCGGAGCUGGGGACCAAACCCAGGGCCUUGUGCUUGCUAGGCAAGCACUCUUAAAGAUUUAUUUUUAUUUAUAUGAGUCCACUGUAGCUGUCUUCAGACUCACCAGAAGAGGGCAUUGGCUCCCAUUACAGAUGGUUGUGAGCUACCAUAUGAUUGCUGGGAUUUGAACUCAGGACCUCUGAAAGAGCAACCAGUACUCUUAACCGCUGAGCCAUCCCUCUAGCCCUGGCCUCUGCCUUAUAAGGGCUGGGAUUAAAGGUGUUUACCACCAUGCCUGGAUAAUACAAUUUUUUUUAAUGAGACAUUUUCCUUUAUUGCCAACCACCAAGCUCAUUGCCUUGAUCGUCCUCAGCCUCAGGACCAGCACCGUUAUCGUCCUGGUGAUGUUGACAGGUCCAUCUCUGCUGAUUGCAUGGCCUGUGGUAGAGGGCAGAUUCUCCCCUCAGGAUUCAGUUCCUCUCCUGUCUCUCCUGUUCUAGAUGGAGCAGUAGGACUUGGUGGAAGUAGGGCUUGGUGAGAAGCCUAGCAUAGACUCUGUCAACAGGAAAUGAAGACUUGUGACUGUCAGCCUAUAUGGCGAACCGUCCUGGCCACAGGUAGAGCCAUAAAAGUUCCAAGGCCACAGAGUCCUCCCUAGCUACACAGCCAGCAAACACCAUGACCCAGGGCCCCGAGGGCACAGCCGCUCCGUUUGGUGGAAGGUCGCACAGUCAUAGACUUGAUGAAGCAGGGCGUGUGGGGACCCUGCUUGAAGAGCACUGGUCAGCUGGGCUAAGCUACCCUCUGUCGUACCAGCUGCCUGCUACCCUCUGCUGCCCACCGAUGGCCACAUCAUUAGCCCUCCCUUCCUGGCAAAGGGUCUUUGAAUUAUUUGUAAGAACUCAAGAGAAUAUGCCUGAAUCGGUCUGAAUAACUCAGUAAAGCCCUGACCUCCAACAUUUCCCCAACCUGCACGGCUCAUUCUAGGAAGAAGCCAGGCCCCAUGCAUGAUGACACAAGCAGAUUCAUCCCAGGAUCCCUUCCCAACAGCCCCUCUGGGCUGCCAUUGCUUUGCCACUCCUCUGCCUAUGCCUUCAUUGUCCCUGGAGGAAGAGCAGACACUCCUGAAGGCCCAGGAGAUCUCACAGUGCGCCUCCCUCAGUACCAUGACCUAAACAGAAUACGAGGAGCCAUUUUGACCUUCCUCCUGAGGCUGGGGCGAAGGGGAGGGGACUGACAGUAGCAGCUGAAUCGUGUGGGGCAUGGGCAGGGGAAGCCACACAGAAGGUGGAAAGCACGAUAUGGCCACAUGGUGACCAGCACAGAGCCUUUAGGCCUUUGGAGAAGCCCUGCCUGUGGUAAGGAGAAAGAGACAGACACUUCUUAAGGAAAGAGGAAGAUCCUAGACCGUGGGAGGGACCUAAAUGGGCAGAUGGCAGACAGCAGGGGGCAGUGGUGGAUCCCACCUCUGAGAACACAUUCUGAUGUUCCCGACAGUCCAUCCCCAGCGAGGAAUCUAGGCGGGAAUUCUCAGCAUUCCUUCACCAAGCUGUGCCUGAGGCCUGAGAGGGAAUCUGUCUACCUCUCCUCAGGACUUAUUCCCCUUUCAGUUGUACCCCCACAGAAGGAGAAGAUGAAGGCAGCCUGCAGGCGAGCUUAUCCCUCAGUGACCUGACUAAAAGGCCAGCUCAGGGCCGAGGAAAUGGGAUUUCACAGGACCGGUCUUUCAUUGGCAGGGAUAUCUUCAUAGGCUGCAGGAAUGAGGCAGGCUGGUUGCUGGCCGAGGCCCGAGGCCUUUUGACUGAUAGCCCUGUCUUCAGUCUCCCCCGAUAAUAAGAAACCCAUUAUAAUUAGAGACCAGCCUAGUGAAGGGCUUAAAGAAUCCAGAGGUGAGAGGGAAGUCCGGUGGGAGAGUGAGGGGCCUCAGGUCCAUGUAGUGGGGUGAGGUGUUGAAGCCCAGGGACCCUGGCUUUGGGGUUUAUUUUUUCCUUCCUCAACAACUGCUAUAGUAGGCAACUGAAAAAAGUGACAACCUGGCGGCUCCUAGGUGUGGUUGAGGAGGAGGUUUAUUGCAGAUACGAGGGAGAGCAUAGCCAGAGGCAUCCAGAAGGGUCCAGACUCCGCUAGGCCAGCAUACCGACCUGGGCCAUGAGAGGAGAGGGGUGGGAGGAAAGAAAAA